rnacentral:lncRNA from 1 species
CAUGGUCCAAACAAUAUUGCUAAAAUUAUCCCCUAUUGGCAAAAGUGCAAUUGGGCCAUCAGGUAAAAACCGUUGCCAGGCAGUGUGAUUUUCAACUGAAUGUUCCACCGUACAGAUGAUGGCGUUCUGUGAGUAGUUCCACCCAGUUGUUCUAAAUCCUGCUAGGUUCCUGUAGAAUUCCAGAGAUUAGAAUGAUUCUGGUACGAUGAUUAUUAUUUAUGUUGGUUCCCUUUACAUAUAUACACAGUCUGCAUCAUUAGGAUGCAAAUCCAGCUUGUAGUAAUCCCUACAAAUCAGGGAUUUAUUCUACCUACUACUUACUAUGAAUACAUUGCAUAAAUCAACUAGACUGAUUCUCUAGGAUAGCUAGUUUACUCUAAGUUAUACGCCUAAUAAUAUCCUAAUUAUUCCUGUAAUUCAACACUCCCCCUCAAGCUUGGCUGUAGAUGUUAUGGAGGCCAAACCUGCCUUGUAGAUCAUCGAACAUAUCUCUAGGUAGAGCCUUAGUAAGAAUAUCUGCAAUCUGCUGCUUAGAUGGAACGUGCUUAGAUGGAACGUACUUGUUGUUUACUUUCUCAGAAAUGAAAUGACGAUCCAGUUCAACAUGUUUAGUACGAUCAUGAUGAACUGGAUUCUUCACAAUACUUAGUGCAGCCUGACUGUCACACAGCACUCUAACAGGACCCUCAUCCUCCAUCUUGAGUUCCCUUAGAAUGCGCCUUAGCCAAACUCCUUCACAAAUUUCCUUCAAGAUACGCCUUAACCAAACUCCCUCGCAAAUACCGUCUGCCAGUGCCCUAUACUCUGCUUCAGCACUGCUCCUUGAGACCACCGUUUGUUUCUUACUCCGCCAGGUCACUAAGUUCCCCCAUACGUAGGUGCAGUAAGCUGAGAUUGACCUUCUAUCUGUAAGGUCUCCAGCCCAACUCGCAUCCGUAUAAAUCGAAAUUCUGCGUCCAGUAUGUUUUUGGAUCAGCAAUCCUACACCUGGUGUGCUCUUUAAAUAUCUCAAAAUCCUCAUCACUGCCUCCAUAUGCUCUUCAUUUGGAUUGUGCAUAUGUUGGCUCACGAUGCUUACUGGAAACGAGAUGUCUGGACGUGUGUGUGCUAAGUAUAUUAGCUUUCCUACCAAUUUUUGGUAACUCCCCCUCUCCACUGGUGCUGCUUCUUGACCAAGAGCAAACUUCAAGUUGUGCUCCAUUGGCGUGCUCGCAGGUUUGCACCCGAUCAUCCCAGUCUCCUUUAACAAAUCUAGGACGUAUUUCCGCUGGGAUAAACUUAGUCCCUUACUAGAUCGUGCCACUUCAAUACCUAGGAAAUACCUCAAAUUUCCUAGGUCUUUUAUCUCGAAUUCCAGUGCUAGCUUCUCCUUGAGCUGUCUGGUUUCCUUUUCAUCAUCCCCUGUGAUGACAAUGUCAUCAACAUAUACAAUGAGGAUGGCCUUCCUUCCUCCCUCAUUCUGUUUUACAAACAUGGUAUGAUCAGUUUGACACUGAUAAUACCCGUACCCCUUCACGGACUGAGAGAACCUCUCAAACCAUGCUCGUGGUGAUUGCUUCAGGUCAUACAGUGCCUUCUUUAGUCUGCACACCAUUCCCGGUUCAGUGGUGACGCCUGCCGGGACAUUCAUAUAUACUUACUCAUUUAGAUCCCCGUUUAGGAACGCAUUCUUCACAUCUAAUUGGUAUAGGGGCCAAUCUAGAUUUACUGCAAUGCUUAGAAGGACUCUCACAGUUUUUAGCAAAGGACUCUCACAGUUUUUAGAUCUAGAUUUACUGCAAUGUUUAAAAGGACUCUCACAGUUUUUAGUUUGGCUACAGGAGCAAAUGUCUCCUCGUAGUCCACUCCAUAGCACUGUGUGAAUCCUCUGGCUACAAGACGAGCCUUAUAUCUCUCAAUCUUCCCUUCUGAGGUAUACUUCACUGUAAAAAUCCACUUACAGUCGACUGUGGAUUUUCCUGCUGGCAGUCUUACUGUGUCCCAUGUCUUAUUCUUCAUGAGUGCACUGAUUUCUUCCAAUACUGCUGCCCUCCAUUGGGGUAUAUUCAUAGCUUCUUCAAUAGAGUGAGGGAUUUGUGUCUCGUCGAGUGUCCCCACAAAAGCCUUGUAUUUCUGGCUUAGAUUGCCAUAUGACACCCAUCUCUCAAUAGGGUGAGUCGUACACGAUCUAGUUUCUUUCCUGUGUGCAAUUGGAAGGUAGACUGUAUCAUCCACCUGAUCUCCCUCUGUACCAGCAGUCUGAAAUUCCUCCGCACGGGCAUGAUUCCCAACCACAUCAUCACCAUGUUCAACCCCCUGGUCCAUUUGCUCUUACUCACCUUCUUGGGAGGCUGGGAUCUCAUCAAAAUCCUGGUCAGGCUGAGCAUGUGUGUUGACUGCCGCCUUCUUCCUACGCUGAUAAACCAGGAGAGGAGGAAUUUGGCUGUUUUGUUCUGUGGGAGAGGGUUGGACUACCUUAGGGGGCUCUAGACCCACUGGAGUUUCUAGGGUAAUAAUACUCCCAAUGGAAGACUCAACAGAUAUGGACUCACUAGUAGAAUUCUCCCCCUGAGACUGACAGUGGGAGUAGAAAGGGCGAUUUUCAAAGAACGUGACAUUUUUUGAGUGAUAAACCUUGUGGUUACUUGGAGAAUAACACUUGUAACCACUAUGAUGAGGAGAAUAACCCAGGAAGACACAUUUCACUGCUCUAGGAUCAAGUUUAGAACGUAGGGAUGAAUCUAAAUGGACGAAUGCUAUACAUCCAAACACUCUAAGGGGAAGAUCGGAGGAUAGAGCAUGACUAUGAGGAAAAUUUUUUAGGAGAACACUACGGGGAGUUUGAAACCGUAGGGUUCGAUUUGGGAGACGAUUGAUAAGAUAAGUUGCUGUGAGUACAACAUCACCCCACAAGUUCUUUGGAGCCUUGGCAGCAAACAGUGAUGCUCUUGCAACUUUCAGCAGGUGACGGUUUUUGCGUUCUGCAAUCCCGUUCUGCUGAGGAGUAUAAGGGCAAGAGCUACUGUGAGCAUAGUCACUGUCAGUAUAUCCUACUAAGCUCUGCUCUUCCUCCCUUUUGUUAUAGUAAAUGCCAAAGCUCAGAGUUCCUUUCAAAUACCUCAUCACACGCUUGGACACAAACAAGGCUAGUUUCAGUUUUUGAUUUCAUGAGGUAUGUCCAUGUUAAGCGGGUGUGAUCAUCAAUAAAGGUGAUGAACCAUCGAAACCCGCUGACUGUUUUUACAGAACAUGGACCCCAAAUGUCGCUGUGAAUGAUGGAAAACGGGUGUGUUGGCUUAUAAGGAAGGCUAUGAUAAACAACUCUGGUUUGCUUUGCAAGCUGACAGACCUCACAGUAGAAAGAACUAACAGUUUUAUUGAUAAACAGCUUAGGAAACAGUUUUUUCAGAUAAGAGAAACUAGAGUGGCCUAACCGAUAAUGCCACAUCAUGACAGGACAAUCUAACUGGCUUGACUUAGAACUUAGGUGAACUGACUUGGAACCCUCUCCUGGUCUUUCUGGGCUUAUUGUCCUCAGACGGAACAGCCCAUCACACAGCUCAAACCUGCCAAUCAUCCUCUGAGAUCCCACCUCCUGCAAUACACAUUGUGAUGGAUCACAAGUUAGUCUACAGUUAAGAUCAUGUGUGAUUUGACUAACGGAGAUCAGGUUACAAGUCAACUUUGGGACAUAUAGAACAGGGAAUACAGCCUGAUUUGGGGUCAGGUAGGCUGUCCCAAUUCCUUCGACUGGAGCGAUGGUUCCAUCCGCAAUACGAACUCCUGCCCUCCCUACAUGAGGCUGGAUAUUGUGGAGUAGCUGUCUAGAACCAGUCAUGUGUUCAGUAGCACCAGAAUCCAGUAUCCAGUAUUGUUUGAAUUGGUUUAGAGUCAGGAGGGCUGUAGAUUUAAUACCAUGGCUAGCAAACAGGCUGUGGUGAGAUUCAGAGGGACCUGCAGAUGCCUUCUUUGCAGUGUAUUGAGCCAUCAUCUGCUGAAGGAUCUCAAGUUGCUCUUUGGUGAUCUGACCAAACUGCUGUGCUUGUUCAGUCACAGCAGCCUGUGCAUAUGCCUCCCUUUCUGCCUUAGGUUUCUAGUCCGCAGGCUUUCCAUGCAGCUUCCAGCAUGUUUCCUUCGUGUACCCUAUCUUAUUACAGUGGGUGCACUGUGGACGCAGCUUUCCAGACUUAGUGUAGGCAUUUCCUUGAUUUCCAGUGUAAUGAGUGGCAAGGGCUGAACCCUCCACUGGAAUACUCUUAGAGUCAGGAAUCAUGAGUUUCCUCCUGCUCUCUUCCCACUUGAUUUCAGCAAAUGGUUCCCUUACUGAUGGCAGAGGGAGACGACCCAUGAUCCUCCCCUUCACCUCAUCAAGGGCCUGAUUUAGACCAAGGAGAAAGCGAAUGGUGCGCUUGGUCUGGAGAAUUUGACGAUACAGCUCUGCAUCUUCUGUACACUUCCACAGGUGGGCGUCGUACAGAUCCUGCUGCAGCCAGCAUUUGCUCAGUUCGUCAUAGUACUGAGUGACUGACUUUUCCCCUUGUUUGAGAUCAUGGAGCCGCAUCUCCACUUCAAAGGCUUCAGCCUUGUUUGCCUGAUUGGAGUAUGUGUGUCUAGCUCCAUCCCAGAUCUCAUGGGCAGUUUGGUGAAGAAGAAACUUUUCACCAAUGGACGUGGUCAUUGAAUUCAGAAGCCACGACUGGACCAUAUUGUCCUCAAUAUCCCAAUUGACGAAUUCUGGGUCAUCCUCUGCUGGCUGCUUUGUCUUUCCAGUCAGGUAGCCUCUUUUUCCCUUGCCUGAGAUAAACUUCAGUACUGAUGAGGACCACUGGAGAUAGUUAUCUCCGUUGAGGCGAUGAUUGGUGAUACAGCCUAGGACUGUAUCUGAUGAGGCAGCUGGAUUUGAGUGCUUCUGGGAGGGAUCUCCUGAAGUCACAGACGGCGAGGAUGGGGCUUGAACUUCAUUGUUCGUGUUCGCCAUCAGAUGAGAAUGAGAGAGAGAGAAGAAGAGAGGUGGAUGGAGCUGGAUUCAAGGUCUGAAUCUAAGCUCUGAUACCAUGUAGAAUUCCAGAGAUUAGAAUGAUUCUGGUACGAUGAUUAUUAUUUCUGUUGGUUCCCUUUACAUAUAUACACAGUCUACAUCAUUAGGAUACAGAUCCAGCUUGUAGUAAUCCCUACAAAUCAGGGAUUUAUUCUACCUACUACUUACUAUGAAUACAUUGCAUAAAUCAACUAGACUGAUUCUCUAGGAUAGCUAGUUUACUCUAAGUUAUACGCCUAAUAAUAUCCUAAUUAUUCCUGUAAUUCAACAGUUCCUCACUUGCGACUUGGACCCAUCAGAUCCAACCUGGAGUGAAUUUCAACAAUCCGAUAGUAUUACGCUCAAACAGAACGUGCGGGGUGCAAUCAAAAUCUAGGAAAGUAAAGUCAGCAUGCAUGCAAAAUUACCACCAAUUUCACGUACAGGCUGCUACCAUCAAUCAUUUCCAGCUUCAUCCAGGACCGGGAAACCAAUCAUCAGUUCAUUUUUCUUAUUAGGCUACACAGACUCACCGAAACUGAGACAAUCAUAGUUCUGGCUCAAACAAUCCUGGCGCUCACCAUUUCUGCACUCCAUUACUCUAAGGCAAGCUGCAAGAAACAAAAUCAAUCAGACUUCAAAAACUUCAUCAUGGAAACCUCAAACUCAUUAAAGAAGGUUCCAGCGUAUAGUUAUCCUUUAUCUCAACAAAAUGAAACCUAGAAAUCCGAUGGCUUCCUCUUCUUUGGAAAAAUAACCAGGAGAGCAAAUAGACUCCGAAAGGAACAGUUAAUGAACAGUAGAAUAACUUCCGGCUUUAUAUAAAUCUAGUUUGAUAAUAAUUAAUAAACACACUGACCUGAAAAGAUAUGGUAACCCCUGAAUUGAUGCUCUCAGCUGCUUGUACAAUGCAUUUUGAGAGCACAUCAAAAUAUUCUCACUGAGCAACAUUGAUGCUCCAUAAUGCUCAACAACUCUUUCUGUUGCAUUAUGUUGAACUUCAAAAUAAGAACCCACACAAUAAAGAAGCAAAAUUUGGCAUCUGUAUGAGUUAUAUUCCAUCAUCAUCUGUAGUGACAUAUUCACUUUCAGAAGAAUUAGGUUCGAAGAGGUACUCAUAACCACUCAAAUCAUCCCAAUCAUCUCUUGGAACUCCUUGAUGAGUUAGGAACUUAUGAUGGCUCAAGAGAAAUGCAUCUUUUCCCACUUCAUAUCCGGAAAGAUCCACUUCAGCCAUUGUUUUGUGGUACCUAUUGCUGCUUUCAGCUAUUUCUGUACCAGUCGAUGAAUUUUUGCUUCUCUCUUGCUGCUGCUCAUAUAUAAUUCGAGCCCCACACCCUAUAACGUUGAAGCAUGAUGCCAGAUCCAUGACAAUAUAAAGUUCAUCCCCUCCUUCUAAGCAUUCUCCAAAAGUCCAAUGACUUAACCAUAACAUGCUGCUGCCAUCCAUCCUGGCCUUAGGAAUCCCAAAAAACAUAGGGCUGUAACACCAUUUCACGCCACUCGUUUGAUUGCUGAUUUUUGCAUAAUUCUCAUCAAGAAGUGAUUCUUCCUUUUCUUCAUCUUUAUCCCAUUUCCCCGUAUAGACAGUGCAAAAGCUCAAGCCACGUAUCUUUCCGCUACAUGGGGAAAUUGGCAACACUACUGAUAUUGAUGACGAUUCUUCAGCCUGAAUGUCAAACCAGUCCAUAACCUCACUCCCGGGAAUAAAUGUACUGAAUAUGUUGCAUUCUUGGAGUACCUACACAUAUACGUUCGCAGUUGGGACAUUACUUUUGAAACGUGCAAAGAUAAAAAUUCAAGAUCAAAGAAAGAAUUCAUGAGAAAUAUACUUGGAUUGGUGUCUUCAUUAUUGUGCAUGAAAAGGCAUUGGACAUCUCAAUUUCAAUCCCGGAGAAGAUUUCCCAAUUGAACAACCCCAAAUGGUUGAGCACUUCUGUGUCAAUGCUGGUUACUGGUUCUAAUUUGAAUAAGCCUUGAACCUCAACCAACUUUUCACAACCAUGAAUUUCUAAAUCCAACCAUUCAAGCAAGUUUGGUAAGUUGGUAACUCUAUUCAAUGACGUGCAGUCGUCUGCCUUUAAGACGUUUAAACUGGUUGGAAGCUCAGGAAGUGCUUUGAGUUCUGUGCACAACUCUAACUCGAGGGUCUCCAGCAAAGGGAGUUUGUUGAUAUCUUCAGGUAGGUAAUGAAAGGGGUUCUUACUCAAGUUCAAGCUUUGUAAAAAGGGUAUGAGGCUAAAACUUAUGGAGAGAUUUGAUAUGUUGCAAUCUGCAAGACUCAAGCUAACCAAGGUGCUAGGAAAAAUAGAAAACGAAAGUGCACUUGAUUGCGUAAAUCUUCUUUGCAAUAUCCAGGACCAAAAUUUGAAAGUUCCUGAAGACAAACUGAGGGCAUCAGAAGUUCCAGAGCUAUUGCCUACCUGGUUUAUGCCAACUCUGUCAGCAAGUAAAACUUUUAAUGACUCCAUCUUGUUGAAAUCCUUGGGCAUCUGUCGGAGAUUAAAGCAACCAGAUAGGAUGAGGAUGGAAAGAGAGAAUUUUAGCAUACCAAACUCUGUAGGAAGCUUUUCGAGACUUAUACAAUCUUGCAGAUUUAACAGCUCAAGUCCCUUGAGCUUGCAGAGGGAUUCAUCAAUCUCAACUAGGCUUGCGCAAUCCUUCAACAGGAGUCUCUCAAGGCUAGGGAACCCUUUGAAGUUAGGGGUUGUAACAAGGUAUCGAGAAUGAUUCAGGUUAAGUAUCUUCAACACUGGCAUAAACUACUGAAAGGAAAUCAAUUAGUGUCUUUUGAUAUUUAACUGAAAGGAAACUAUUUGAACAGACAAGUUGAAAUGUGGUGUAAUACCUUUUCUCCUUUCCACAGAUAUUUGAGGUUGCUAUUUCUCAAGUCAAGUACAACCAACUUCUCAAGGUACAUUUCCUUUGGUAUAUAUUCCAUAGGGAAGCCGUUCCAACGCAACCAAACUAACUUCUUAGGGAAAUUCUUGUAGUUUCCUUUGAAUCUAACACCAGUGAGGUAGAGCAACUUAAGAUUCUGCAUCCUUGCAACUGACUGUGUAGACAAUGAUUCUUCUGAAGUAAUGUCUGCUGGUUCUUGAUCAAAGAAUCCAAGACGUGGUCUUUUUGAUACGUUUUCUUGGUGUGUCACCAUCAAUUUUCUACUUGAACUCAUGUCCUUCUUUUGAGACUUUGACAAACUUCUAUUCAGCAUUGGAAGAUUGAGAAUGAUACCUUUAACUAUAUCAGUACCCUACAUUCACCCAUAUACAAAUGAAAAUGAAUCAACCAAAAACUUUAUAGUAGGGAACAAGUGGAAAAUAGCCAGUAAGUUACCCUCACCUUCUUCUCUUUCAAUACCAUGAAGGAAUCCUUAUGAUCACACAGCCUACUGCGUUGCCCAGGAUCAUCUACUGAUUCCUGGCGAACAAUCUCUCUUCCCAUGUCUACCAACAGCUGAUGCAUUGUUAACCUGUUUUCAUCACUGAUAGUUACUAAACAUCUGCGCAUCAGAUUCUUUACACCAACAACUGUAAAGAAACCACAUCCAUCAGCUAUCUUAGCAACAUAAUUUAAGUCCAUUCCAUUGAAAAGACAAGCAAUGUCGAGAAAUAAAUUUCUAUCAUGAUCAUCUUCAAGAGAAGCAUAUGUUAUCUGGAAAAUGCUUUGAAUAUCGCUCUCAGGAACCUUUUUCAGCCUCUGCAACACACUUUCCCAUAUGUCCUUAGGCUUCCUAUAAAGAGUAGAGGCCAAAACUUGAAGAGCUAAUGGAAUUCCACCACAAUGAUGCACAACAUCCAUAGAGAGCAACUCGUAACCAAGCUCAGGGCAAUCAGAACCAAAUGCAUGCCAACUGAAGAGCUGAAGUGAUUCUUUAUCAUCCAAUUCUUUUACCUUCAACAUGAAACUAACCUCAUGAGCCCCCAAUAUAUGUUGAUUCCUAGUAGUUAUUAGGAUCUUGCUUCCAGGGUGAAACCACUCCAGUAAUCCCAUAAUUGCAUUCAACUGCUCUGCCUGAUCCACAUCAUCGAGAACAAGGAGAACUCUCUUGCGGGACAAAGUAUCUUUGAUCUUGACAAUCCCUUCAUCUACCCCGUAAACUUUGGUAGCACUUCCCUUUGUUAGAUCUGAAAGGAGCUGCCUCUGCAAACGAAUCAAUCCAUUGGGUUGGUCUGAGAUGUUCCUAAUAUCAGCAAGAAAACUGCUAGCAUCAAAAUUUUCAAAGUUCUGAUUAUAGAUUAUCUUGGCAAUGGUGGUCUUCCCAACACCGCCAACCCCAUAAAUUGCAGCAAUAGACACAUCUAGUAUUGUGCGGUUCAACAACUUGGCCACUUGGUUGACAACAGCCUGAACAAACUCGGAUUCGUACCUAAGAGGAUAAUCAAGAUUCCGAAAUUCAAUUUUGACCACCUAAAACUGAACAACCAACACCUCAAAGAAAAACGAUGCUAAAAUCCAGCGAAACGAGAAAACCGGAGAGAGCAUACGUAGCUUACCUGUCCUGCAAGACCAUGUGGUCCGGGAUGUCAGAAAGCUGCGAAAGAGCUGAUCGCCAUCGAUCAAGCGUCUCAUUGCUGAACUCAGUUCGAUGUUGAGCAAAUGCUUCUCCGUAGCUUCCGGUCUGAGAGUGUACGUUAGAAGGAUGGACGUCGAUGUAUAGAGGGACGACGAUGUGGGAGUGGGUUUUGCGGCGAUCCAUGAUCAAAGCAAGCUCAUCGAGGCACCAUCUAGAGGAAGCGUAGUCGGAAGAAAGGACGAGGAUAGAGAGUCUAGAUUGCUGAAUUCCGUUGUUUAUCUCCGACAGGAUGUCUUCACCUCGGCGGAUUUCAUUGUCGUCUCUGAAGGUGGUGAUCCCGGAUUGAGUGAGGGCUGUGUAGAGGUGAUCGGUGAAGGUUUUGCGAGUGUCCUCACCUCUGAAGCUUAGAAAGACUUGGUAAGUUAAGCGAGCAGGGGGUUUAGAGGAAAUGGAAGAAGCCAUGAGUGUUUGGCAAAAGAAUUUGGUAGGAUGAACAGUCAACUCUCAGGAAUGGAUCGAAGAUAAUUGAGAAGUGGAAGUCAACUGAAGUCUUCUUCUAAGUUUGGCUUGCAUGCGAUUUGUCCGUCACACGGAGGACUAGCAAUCCAACCAUUGAUUUGGUAUUUCAAAUCCGUCGGUCCCAUUUCUUUUCUUAUCUCAUGCCUUUCCUUCUCCGAUUCUCUUUCUUUCUUCUUCCUUCUUUUUAAGCUCCAAUCCGCUCCCCACCUCCUUUCCCGUAAGCCUUCUGUCCGCUGUAAUUUUCCCAGUAGUUUCGCCGCUAAGUAGUGAUUUAGCAAAUGUCGUGGCCUCGAUUUGAUCCAUGUCAACCAAAAUCAAAAUCAGAAAACCAAAAUGAAACACACAUGAUAGUAAUUUCAAACCCAGGUAAGUAAUCCACCCGUAUCUACUAAUAAAUAAUCUAGCUACAGUAGCCUCAAUGGUACUUUUUCCAUUCUUGCUACAGUGACCUAUUCAUAGUGCUAACCCCUUGAGAACUGCACAUGUGACUCGUCUACGUAUGUAUAUCAAUACGAGUUAACACAUGCAUAGAAAUGAGGUUAUUCGUAGAAUGGCCCCCGACUUUAAAGAAGGGGAUUCCAAACAUAUGGCCAGGAACAGGACAAGUGAGAAAUCAGUCAGAUGAAGUCAUCUAUUCAUAUUUCAUAGUGCUACAACUGCCACUUAUUACAGGAUUUACAACAUGCUGGAUCGUCUCAUUCAAAACUAAAAAGAUUGCCUUGUCGUCUUCAUUUCAAGAGACAAUGGGUAGACGCUGUUCUCCGGAGGCAUACGAGAUGAUACUCCUCUUCAGCGGUGAAAAGCUAUUUACAGCAUUGAAAGCAGCAGCCCGUAACACAUUAAGAGGCCCAAAAUCCACAGAGUAUAGCUUCUGAAAACCAUCCAGUACGGCCAUCAUCGCCACGUUUGCUGGUUUCCUUUCUCUUUCGUACUUUCUCAACUGGGACACCUGCACAGUUAGCAAUCACGACCCAGAAGUCUAAUAAGCCAAGUUAAAUGCCCAGUAAAACUAAAAUCAUAUGCAUCAUGUACCUCCCCAAUGUCCACUCCAACUGCAAUGCCCUCGCUGAUGAUUCUUGAAAGAGCAAAUGCAUCUCCAAAACCCAAAUUAACUCCUUGGCCUGCUAGAGGAUGAACAGCGUGUGCAGCAUCACCAAUAAGAACAAUACGUUUCGCUACAUAGUCAUUAGCAUGCAUUAAGGACAGGGGAAACGCCGUUCUCUUCGAAGCCAGCUUUACCACCUUUGGUGGUACCUCAAAGGAUUCAUUGGCCGACAUGGUUAAGUUGCCUCCAAAUAGAGAAAACCUGUCGCUACCAUUCGGGAAGCUCGACUUUGGACGAGGGCCAUAUCCAUGGUCCAGAGCAUUAUUUACAGCUUUCACAAAAUCAUCCUCAUUCAUUACUGUCAAAUCUGAUGAGUGCUUCGGGUUCAUGGUCCAAACAAUAUUGCUAAAAUUAUCCCCUAUAGGCAAAAGUGCAAUUGGGCCAUCAGGUAAAAACCGUUGCCAGGCAGUGUGAUUUUCAACUGAAUGUUCCACAGUACAGAUGAUGGCAUUCUGUGAGUAGUGCCACCCAGUUGUUUUAAAUCCAGCUAGGUUCCUUACUUGCGACUUGGACCCAUCAGAUCCAACCUGGAGUGAAUUUCAACAAUUCGAUAGUAUUACGCUUAAACAGAACGUGCGGGGUGUAAUCAAAAUCUAGGAAAGUAAACUUAGUCAGCAUGCAUGCAAGCGAAAUUACCA